GCGUUAUUCGGAUUCACUGGGCGUAAAGGGUGCGCAGGUGGCUUGGCAAGUUUGAUGUGAAAGCUCAGGGCUUAACCCUGAAAUGGCAUUGAAUACUGUUGAGCUGGAGGUUUGGAGGGGGGACUGGAAUUCUUGGUGUAGCAGUGAAAUGCGUAGAUAUCAAGAGGAACACCAGUGGCGAAGGCGAGUCCCUGGACAACACCUGACACUGAGGCACGAAAGCUAGGGGAGCAAACAGG
rnacentral:rRNA from 1 species